rnacentral:rRNA from 1 species
CCCUUAGAUGUUCUGGGCCGCACGCGCGUUACAAUGAUGCACUCAACAGGCAUAUAACCUUGGCCGAGAGGCCUGGGUAAUCCCGUUAACUUGCAUCGUGUUAGGGAUAGAUUAUUGCAAUUAUUAAUCUUGAACGAGGAAUUCCUAGUAAUCGCAGAUCAUCAAUCUGCAAUGAUUACGUCCCUGCCCUUUGUACACACCGCCCGUCGCACCUACCGAUUGAAUGGUCCGGUGAAGCCUCCGGAUUGGCGCGCACCUCGGUGCCGCCGAGAAGUUGGCUAAACCUUACCAUUUAGAGGAAGGUGAAGUCGUAACA